GUCCAAGCGUGGCUUAGUGGUUUGAGCACUGGGUUAUGACUCUGGAGACCAGGGUUCGAAUCCCAGCCUGGCCA